rnacentral:rRNA from 1 species
AACUGAUUCAGAGGACAGCGGCGGACGGGUGAGUAACGCGUGAGGAACCUGCCUUUCAGAGGGGGACAACAGUUGGAAACGACUGCUAAUACCGCAUGAAGCGUAUUGAUCGCAUGGUCGAUACGCCAAAGAUUUAUCGCUGAAAGAUGGCCUCGCGUCUGAUUAGCUAGUUGGUGAGGUAACGGCCCACCAAGGCGACGAUCAGUAGCCGGACUGAGAGGUUGAACGGCCACAUUGGGACUGAGAUACGGCCCAGACUCCUACGGGAGGCAGCAGUGGGGAAUAUUGGGCAAUGGGCGCAAGCCUGACCCAGCAACGCCGCGUGAAGGAAGAAGGCUUUCGGGUUGUAAACUUCUUUUGUCGGGGACGAGUAGAAGACGGUACCUGACGAAUAAGCCACGGCUAACUACGUGCCAGCAGCCGCGGUAAUACGUAGGUGGCAAGCGUUGUCCGGAUUUACUGGGUGUAAAGGGCGUGUAGCCGGGAGGGCAAGUCAGAUGUGAAAUCCACGGGCUUAACUCGUGAACUGCAUUUGAAACUACUCUUCUUGAGUAUCGGAGAGGCAAUCGGAAUUCCUAGUGUAGCGGUGAAAUGCGUAGAUAUUAGGAGGAACACCAGUGGCGAAGGCGGAUUGCUGG